rnacentral:lncRNA from 1 species
GUGAUGUCUAUGAAUAGGUUUUCUAAAAAGAAGCUGGAGGCUUUCCAGGUCUCUUCUCAAGGACCUGUGUUUGUAAUUCCAGUGGCUAACACGUAAUUACAGUCUCAAGCUUGCUUUGAGAAUAGUGCUGGGCUUUCUUUGUGUCUGGUCUUCUCAACAGCUGUGUCAUCAGGCUGGCAUGCCUACUCACUGUUUCAAACACUUCAAGAAAAUAAAAUGGAUAUCUAGUAAAAGAAAAGAACAUGUUUCCAUGCCCUUGUAAGGAGGAGGACUGGUCUCCAUUUGCUCUUCAAGAAGAAAAUACUUAUGAAGCCAACACAGCUAUGGGCCCCACUCACUCCAGUUCUGUUGUGAGUGUCCCUCUAGCCAGUUCAAGCUUAGCGCACAUGAAGUGUAUGUCCUGGGAAGACGCUGGAACACUUACUCUUAAGUGAGUGUUUUCACCAACACUGACCAGGUGCUGAUGGGCGGGGGUUUAUCUUCAAAUUUUUUCAAGUUUUUUACUAUGUAACAAAUCCUCUUUGUGCCCCUCCUGCUAAAGAGAUUGCUCUGCAAAAAAAUGAUCUCUGUUGUUUUCUAAGAGACAGAAAGGGUGUGGGUCUCUGACGGGAGAGAAGGUGAGCAAGAUCAUUUUAGGGCAUGGAACGUGAAUCCAGACUGUUAACGCAAGAGAAUCUACUUGAUGAAGCUUUUCUGGCAUGAGCGAGGUUCCGCAUCCAUUACCAACACGGCUUCAUCAUCGAAAAUGUACGGUGUCGUUUCUAAUGGGAAACAUUUCCUGGCACCCGUGUGUACUCAGCUUUUGGCUCUCAUCAGAUAAAAAUGCUGUGACAGUCACAGCCUAAUUUGUCUUGAGUGCUUUGAGAGACUUAAUGAUAGUGCUGGUUUUGAUCUUCGGGUGCAAAUGUAGCUUUUUUUUUUUUUUUAAAUCAUCUGGGAGUUGUUUCCUCUAUGUUUUCAGUACCACCUAAAUACAUUUUUGGAAGAU